AACGCUAGCUACAGGCUUAACACAUGCAAGUCGAGGGGCAUCAGGGUGUAGCAAUACACCGCUGGCGACCGGCGCACGGGUGAGUAACACGUAUCCAACCUGCCCUUUACUCGGGGAUAGCCUUUCGAAAGAAAGAUUAAUACCCGAUGGCAUAACAUGACCUCCUGGUUUUGUUAUUAAAGAAUUUCGGUAGAGGAUGGGGAUGCGUUCCAUUAGGCAGUUGGCGGGGUAACGGCCCACCAAACCUUCGAUGGAUAGGGGUUCUGAGGGGAAGGUCCCCCACAUUGGAACUGAGACACGGUCCAAACUCCUACGGGAGGCAGCAGUGAGGAAUAUUGGUCAAUGGGCGAGAGCCUGAACCAGCCAAGUAGCGUGAAGGAUGACCGCCCUAUGGGUUGUAAACUUCUUUUAUAUGGGAAUAAAGUUUGCCACGUGUGGCAUUUUGUAUGUACCAUAUGAAUAAGGAUCGGCUAACUCCGUGCCAGCAGCCGCGGUAAUACGGAGGAUCCGAGCGUUAUCCGGAUUUAUUGGGUUUAAAGGGAGCGUAGGUGGACAUGUAAGUCAGUUGUGAAAGUUUGCGGCUCAACCGUAAAAUUGCAGUUGAUACUGCGUGUCUUGAGUACAGUAGAGGUGGGCGGAAUUCGUGGUGUAGCGGUGAAAUGCUUAGAUAUCACGAAGAACUCCGAUUG
rnacentral:rRNA from 1 species